AGAGUUUGAUCCUGGCUCAGAACGAACGCUGGCGGCAUGCCUAACACAUGCAAGUCGAACGGGAUCCAGGCUUCGGCCUGGUGAGAGUGGCGGACGGGUGAGUAACGCGUGGGAACCUGCCCAAUGGUCUGGGAUAACCGCGGGAAACUGCGGCUAAUACCGGAUAAGCCCGAGAGGGGAAAGAUUUAUCGCCGAUGGAGGGGCCCGCGUCCGAUUAGGUAGUUGGUGAGGUAACGGCUCACCAAGCCUACGAUCGGUAGCUGGUCUGAGAGGAUGAUCAGCCACACUGGGACUGAGAUACGGCCCAGACUCCUACGGGAGGCAGCAGUGGGGAAUAUUGGACAAUGGGGGCAACCCUGAUCCAGCAAUGCCGCGUGAGUGAUGAAGGCCUUAGGGUUGUAAAGCUCUUUUACCGGGGACGAUGAUGACGGUACCCGGAGAAUAAGCCCCGGCUAACUUCGUGCCAGCAGCCGCGGUAAUACGAAGGGGGCGAGCGUUGUUCGGAAUUACUGGGCGUAAAGGGCGCGUAGGCGGCGACCCAAGUCAGAUGUGAAAGUCCUGGGCUUAACCUGGGGACUGCAUUUGAUACUGGGUUGCUUGAAUUCGGGAGAGGAUAGCGGAAUUCCCAGUGUAGAGGUGAAAUUCGUAGAUAUUGGGAAGAACACCGGUGGCGAAGGCGGCUAUCUGGACCGACAUUGACGCUGAGGCGCGAAAGCGUGGGGAGCAAACAGGAUUAGAUACCCCGGUAGUCC
rnacentral:rRNA from 1 species